GUGUAAAUCGACCUGGAAUACUAUUUAUAGGUAUGAGAAUAUAGAUGAAUAGUAGGUAUGCCUCUCAGGCAUCGCAGGUAAGA
rnacentral:sRNA from 2 species